GCGUAAGCGCACGCAGGCGGUCUGUCAAGUCGGAUGUGAAAUCCCCGGGCUCAACCUGGGAACUGCAUUCGAAACUGGCAGGCUAGAGUCUUGUAGAGGGGGGUAGAAUUCCAGGUGUAGCGGUGAAAUGCGUAGAGAUCUGGAGGAAUACCGGUGGCGAAGGCGGCCCCCUGGACAAAGACUGACGCUCAGGUGCGAAAGCGUGGGGAGCAAACAGGAUUAGAUACCCUGGUAGUCCACGCCGUAAACGAUGUCGACUUGGAGGUUGUGCCCUUGAGGCGUGGCUUCCGGAGCUAACGCGUUAAGUCGACCGCCUGGGGAGUACGGCCGCAAGGUUAAAACUCAAAUGAAUUGACGGGGGCCCGCACAAGCGGUGGAGCAUGUGGUUUAAUUCGAUGCAACGCGAAGAACCUUACCUACUCUUGACAUCCAGAGAACUUAGCAGAGAUGCAUUGCUGCCUUCGGGAACUCUGAGACAGGCGCUGCAUGGCUGUC
rnacentral:rRNA from 1 species